UUGAACUGAAGAGUUUGAUCAUGGCUCAGAUUGAACGCUGGCGGCAGGCCUAACACAUGCAAGUCGAGCGGUAGAGAGAAGCUUGCUUCUCUUGAGAGCGGCGGACGG
rnacentral:rRNA from 1 species